GACGAACGCUGGCGGCGUGCUUAACACAUGCAAGUCGAACGAUGAGGACGGAGCUUGCUCUGGUGAAUUAGUGGCGAACGGGUGAGUAACACGUGAGUAAACUGCCCUUGACUCUGGGCUAACUGCGGGAAACUGUAGCUAAUACCGGAUACGACCCUCGGCGGCAUCUCCUGGGGGUGGAAAGAAUUUCGGUCAAGGAUGGACUCGCGGCGUAUCAGCUAGUUGGGGAGGUGAAGGCUCACCAAGGCGACGACUGGUAUCCGGCCAGAGAGGGUGAACGGCCAAAAUGGGAAUGAGACACGGCCCAGACUACUACGGGAAGCAGCAGUUUGGAUUAUUGCACAAUGGUCGCAAGCCUGAUGCAGCAAAGCCGCGUGAGGGAUGCCGGCCUUCGGGUUGUAAACCUCUUUUAGCAGGGAAGAAGCGAAAGUGACGGUACCUGCAGAAAAAGCACCGGCUAACUACGUGCCAGCAGCCGCAGUAA
rnacentral:rRNA from 1 species